rnacentral:tRNA from 1 species
GAGGCAUAGCCCAGUUGGUUAGAGCGCAUGCUUGACAUGCAUGAGGUCACAGGUUCAAGUCCUGUUGUCUCC